AGAUAAAAGCAGAGGCUUCCCGCUUCUCGCCUUAGUGAUACUGAUUGCUGGGCUUUUACGGAUUAAUGACCUAUUUAAUAGGUGUAGCGGGUAUUCAGCUGAAUGCCCGCUAUUUUUCUGCUUU
rfam:Lactobacillus lindneri DSM 20690 = JCM 11027 strain DSM 20690 NODE_49, whole genome shotgun sequence.